rnacentral:rRNA from 1 species
UACGUAGGGUGCGAGCGUUAAUCGGAAUUACUGGGCGUAAAGCGUGCGCAGGCGGUUUUGUAAGCCAGAUGUGAAAUCCCCAGGCUCAACCUGGGAACUGCGUCUGAUACUGGAUGGCUUGAAUCCGGGAGAGGGAUGCAGAAUUCCACGUGUAGCAGUGAAAUGCGUAGAGAUGUGGAGGAAUACCGAUGGCGAAGGCAGCCCCCUGGGCCAGUACUGACGCUCAUGCACGAAAGCGUGGGGAGCAAACAGG